ACGGCUUAACCCUAGAGAAGUGGAAUAUGGCACCAUUGAUGGACUCAUCACUACAAAUGUUGGCGAUAGCACCUUAGCAGAUUUAAUGGAUCAUUCUUGUACGUCAGGAAGUGGCUCUGGUCUUCCUUUUCUCGUACAAAGAACUGUGGCUCGUCAGAUUACACUAUUGGAAUGCGUAGGAAAAGGCCGAUAUGGAGAGGUGUGGCGGGGCCACUGGCAAGGAGAAAAUGUUGCAGUG